CGGAUACAAGGGAAAGUCGCGCGCGCUGGACGCCUCGUGCCCCCCGUGUGAGGUCGGAUCCACCGCUUCUGUUAAUGCUGGACGCUCUACUUUUCACUUUGUACUUGGGUGACAUGGGGGAUUAUCCAAAACAGAAGUCUGGAGUGACGCUGUGCGUGGGCUGUGGAAGUCAAAUACUCGACCAGUACAUCCUCCGCGUGUCCCCGGACCUGGAGUGGCACGCCGCCUGCCUCAAGUGCGCACAGUGCGGGCAGUACUUGGAUGAGACGUGCACGUGCUUUGUGCGUAAUGGAAAAACCUACUGCAAAAGGGACUAUAUUUGGUUAUUUGGAAUAAAAUGCGCAAAGUGCAACAACACCGUCGGUAGCAACGACCUGGUCAUGAGAGCGCACGGGAACGUGUACCACACGGAGUGUUUCCGCUGUACGAUCUGCGGCAGACCCCUCCUGCCAGGGGACGAGUUCUUGAUACGGGACCAGGAGCUGCUCUGCCGCCCGGACCACGAGGCCACGGUGGAGCGAGAAGAGAGCGUGAGCCCCGGGCACGUGAGGCACGAGCGCCCGCCGCUCGUCAGGCCUCCAGAUCCGGUCCCGGUGAGACACACACCCCUCCACCGGCAUCACGUGCACGGCUCCUCGGAGAAGUCCACGCGCGUGCGAACGGUGCUCAACGAAAAGCAGCUGCACACGCUGCGCACGUGCUACAACGCAAACCCGCGUCCGGACGCGCUCAUGAAGGAGCAGCUCGUGGAGAUGACCGGCCUCAGCCCCAGAGUCAUCCGCGUGUGGUUCCAGAACAAACGCUGCAAAGACAAAAAGAGAAGCCUCCUCCUGAAGCAGCUGCAGCGGCCGCAGCAGGGAGAGCUCCCGAGCCUGCAGGGCCUGACGGGGACGCUGCUCACGGUGACGAGCCCGGUCCACCUCCAGGAGAGCUCGGAGGGGGAGCUGGUGGAGCACGGACACCAGCCCCUCUGGAAAUCCUUCAACAAAUUCACCCAGAGAGCGUUCAAGCCUAAAAUCUUUCAGGUGACAUUAUCGGACUCUCAGGGCAGCUCCUCGGGCAGUGAUGCAUCUCUGUGUUCGGACUCACACAGCAGCCUCCUCCUCAGCCCCGGAGACACGUGAACGUCCCUGUCAAACUUUGUCACUGUACAGAGUCUCGUUUAUGUCCCACGUGAGACAGACUUUUACUUAAAGCUCAACAGUCUGGUGAAUAUUCAAGAGUCAGACAUCAAAAUCACACCGGAGCUCGUCAAAACACACGUACAGAACUUGUGAAAAUGAGGAAAAAAGCGUUCACCCAACAUAGCAGGAGUUCCCAAACAAACACCGGUCCGAGGCCCAAAACCGGACCACGGGCCAGAAAGUCAAGUACUGGGCCCAGAGAAGUAGAGUCAAAACUUGUUUAGUGUUUACUUACAUAUUUACUCUAAAAAUAUACAUAUUAAACUAAACAGCACGCAUGAUUAUUAAGACAAUUUAUUCAAACUGUGGUUCUGAAUUAUAAAAAAUUUGUGUUAUUAUUAUUAACCACGCCCUCGUCCAUCGGUUCCUGAAAAAAAUGUAUGUUUAUUCCCUAAAAAAUUGUAUGUUUAUUCUUGGUUCUUAUGAGAAAAUGUUGGGGACUGCCGUUUCAGAUGACAAAUCACUGUUACGUUGUUUUUUUUUGUAAACAGUUGAAUUAAUAUUAUAGUUUUUUUAACAUUCAAAAUACUCUGAGUGCAUUUAUUGUUGUCUCUUUUAAACAAAAGGAGCAGAUGUUCGGAAAUAAUCAUAAUAGCCUCAUG